UAUAGCAAAAAUGAUCUCAUCAAAGUUAUUGAGAUGACACGCCAUGUUGCUCUUUUCUUUUUAAUUACAGCUGUUUUACUGCCUAACAAAAGCCAAAUCAACAGCUUCUUAAAGCAGAGUAGCUGUUUAUCAAGGCAUCAUUCGGAAUGAUCCACAAAGGAGAAUGCGCUCGCUGAUUAUAUAGCAAGUUAAUUAUAUAUCCUCCUAGGAACCAUCCCAAAUCAUAUGUCAGCUUUAAUCCAAGAUGUCAGAUUUUCUCCAAAACCCACAACUGGCACAGAAAUGAAUGGAAAUCUCAAAGGCUUUCGAAAUGCCUUUAUACAGUGAAUCUUAUUUAACUCGCUAAAUCUCACAAGGCGCAGGUACAAGGCAUCAAUGCCCGACUGCAUCAGAUUGUAUCCGAUUUCAAUACCAUGGAGUGUUUAACAUUCAUUUAAUGUUAGGCAGUCACUGAGUCACUUUACUCUAUUUUUGCUCUUUCAAAGGAAACGAAGAACACUGAGAGAUUAAUGAUAGCAUCUAAAAGGACAAUGGACAUCAAGCCUAAACAUGACAGGCAGCCCUCAGGGCACCAUUGUGUGGAUCUCGCUGACAGAGCUGAAGUAUAAGCCUAAGCUCAGAGUCCCUGCACCCCACCGCCUUAAGUAACAGCAGCGGAGAUCCACAGGGGUUUGUGUUUACAGUUGUUUCUUGUUGUUUUGUGCACCACAUCACUGAGAUAAUCAUCAGUGGUUUAUUUCAUUCUGACCUUUAAAGGGCAUCUGAAUACGAGACAGUUAAAACAUGAGCAGGAAGGGAAAAGUCUGAAUUCCUCAGCAUACAAAUGAUGUGUUUGUGGUGCUCAUGUCAUGUACUGCUGAUUUGAAGAAAGAAAGUGAAAGUGAAGUUUUGACACCACCUUGUUUGUUUAUUGAAAUAUAUUCUGGACAUUUUAUUAAAUACAAAAUAAAUACAA